rnacentral:rRNA from 1 species
CCUACGGGAGGCAGCAGUGAGGAAUAUUGGUCAAUGGCCGAGAGGCUGAACCAGCCAGGUCGCGUGAGGGAAGAAUGUCCUAUGGAUUGUAAACCUCUUUUGUCAGGGAGCAAAGUCACCCACGUGUGGGUGUUGGAGAGUACCUGAAGAAAAAGCAUCGGCUAACUCCGUGCCAGCAGCCGCGGUAAUACGGAGGAUGCGAGCGUUAUCCGGAUUUAUUGGGUUUAAAGGGUGCGCAGGCGGCACGGCAAGCCGGCGGUCAAAUCGCGGGGCUCAACCCCGCCCAGCCGUCGGAACUGCCGGGC